UUCCAUGUGAUAUAUAACGGGAAACACAAACACAAGGAAAGCAAUGAAACACUUUUCUGUGUCAAUGGACAGGUGGGGUUGAAAUGCAGUAAAGCCGGAGAAAACAAAACAGGCGCGUUUCAUGAGACACGGAGAAAGGAGAGAAGAUAGAAAGUUAGAGAGAUCAUUUUAACAUACACUAGCUUCUUAAUGUAUACUGUAUUCAAUUAUAGUUUCGGUUCUGGAGGAUAUUUUAUGCCAAAAUGAAAUAAAUACAUGCAUACAUAGAUAUUACGUUCCCUCUAAGGCUUUUAUUUAGUUAGGCACUGUGGCUAAAGUAACGAACUUCAUUUUCAGCCACACUGGAAAAAACUGAGGCCACUUGACAAUACUAAACAAGCUAUAAACAUACUGUUACAGCAAGACAAAAAGAUGUGUGUUUUAUUUGAAAACACGUAGAUGUUUAAAUGCCAGACAGUCCCCGACAUGCACUGAAGCAACUCGGGGAAGAUGCCAAGUUUGAGGGAUUUUAUGAAGAAACUGUACAGCUCCGAGGCCAUGGAGAGGAACGCAAACGAGAAAGACUCCGCCGUGGCUGGGAUGAUUAUGAACAAGGGCUCAGCUGCUUUAAUGAGGACACCGACCCAAACACUUUGGAGAGACCCCCGCGCCUGCGUGUUGAAGUCCUGGAUGGAAUCAUUUGUCAGCUAUCAGAGAGGUUUGCUGACAUGAAAAAGCUCCACUUCAGGAUUGUAGAUCUUGGACUCUCUAAGCAGCGGCUCUCAAACCAUGGGGCGUGGCAACGUGCCAAGGGAGGAACGAGCUGUGUGUCCUUUUAUUUAUUUAAUUCAUUAUUUAUUUGAGUCGUUGGAUGAUUUGAAGAAAAUUACAAAUUAUUAUAUAUUUUAAAAGUAUUAUAUUUAAAAAUAACUCAAAUAACGUUCCCCACUCCCCACCCCCUCAAGUAAACUUGAAAACAGUCUGAGCAGCGCGCUUACAGAGAGAAACAGCUUUAAUGAGAAACGGAUCGUUUUGUGACAAAGGGAGAAAAACGAACAACACAAACCGAAGAGAGGACAGCAGCGGAGGAUCCAGCAAAACACAGAAGCAGAAAAUAUGAGGAAGCAUUGUUAUGUUCACUAAUGUUUCAAUACUGAAAUCUAUUUGUUAUUAAUGAACAGCUAGCUUGUGCUUGUCCUUUAUUGACAUGCUUUCUUAAGUUAUUUUUCGAAACUUCCUGUAUCCUGGAAAACUACCUCAUAACUUACUAUCAAAUCUAGUAGUGACACCUUGUGGUCAUGAUAUGUAACUGCACAUCAUUACAAGCAUAUUUAAAACUGGGCUUAACAUGGAGCGGGUCCAGCGAUGCACCGAGGAAUCAAAUGUGCGGCGAAAUCCUGGCAAACCACAGCAUGCAGCCCUGCAAGCUACACCAGCAUCUCGAAACACGACAACCCUGCCUUAGCAUCUAAACCCGUAAUGACUUUACACAGGAAGCGCUAUGAGUUUCUUUAUUUAUUUUCUCUCGGAAAGCACUGUACAGAACAUAGCAGAAAAAAAUACAAACCACAAUACAUUUGUAUAGCAUGUCACACAUACAACUGCCACAAGCAGACCAUUUAAAUAACAGAUUUAAACAACAGUAUACACCUAAUAAUACAGAAGCAGAAAUUGUGAAGUUACAAUAAAACCAACUAAGAUAAGAAAGUUAACAGGACCAAAAAAAACAAAAUAAGAUUUUAGCUGCUUCCAUUUGUUCUGUUUUUGAAUGAAUACUUCUGAAACUCAUACUGCUCUAUAUUGAUCAAAUCCCUUCUACUCUUUUAUUCAUUUUUUUGCAGCAUACAGGAUUUUCAGUUUGUUAUAUUGUUUUAGUAAACUGGGGAGGCGCAGAUAUUUUUUUCAUAGCUCAGGGAGGCUCACUAUGGCAAAGUUUGAGAAGCACUGCUCUGGAACGUCAAAAAUACGAGGAAACAACCGAAAUAUCAUCAACAGAAGAAUGUAGGUGUUUAUUCCAUUGAGUUUAUUGUCUCUUCUCUCUCUUAUAGCAGGUUGCUCUGCACCAGACCGUGUUCCUGUCUCUGGCUCAGCUGGGGGGAGAGCAGUGCUGCCCUGUUCUUACACCCCCACCCCUGGGCAGGAUGUAGAAGUCACAUGGUAUGCAUAUCCAGAUCAAGGAAAAGCUGUUCUAUUAAUCUACUCAAAGACCCCCUCAGCACCCAUCCCUGCGCAGUGGAGUGGCCGAGUGAAGCUGUCUGAUGAAGUCUCCUCUGGAAACGCCUCUCUGCUAAUCUCUGAGCUCAGAGUGGAGGACACUCAGGAUUACAUGUGUACAGUGCAGUUCAAUGGGAUAUGUUUCACUUACAGGAAUGUUAAACUGACAGUUCAAGGACCUCCAAAGAAAGAUUCAACUACUUCAAGAACAACGACGACCAGAACCCCGACAACUAGACCAUCAGCAACCCCGACAACUAGACCAUCAGCAACCCCGACAACUAGACCAUCAGCAACCCCGACAACUAGACCAGCAGCAACUCAGAAAACCAGCCCAUGCCCAACCCAGCAGGGGAAUGCAGCAGCACAGAGGAGAUAGUUCUGCAUGAAACCGCUUUGAUAACUGGAUUCUAAUUGGAUUGCAUGUUCCUGUAUUUAGUGAGUGUUGUGAGUUAAGCGGAAGUUCAAUUAUUCCUGUGUGUUGCUGCUGCUGGUUCCCUAUGCCAGUAUAGUCCAUUGUGAAAGAGUAUUGCUGUUACUGUAACCCGCUGCAUCCUGCCUGUGCCUGCAUCUCUUCAUUUCUAUAUCAUUUUAAUAAGAGCGUUUUAGCAUUUUGAUAUAUUUCAGGCUCUAUCCAUCACUGAUAGCUAUUAGUUUAUUUUUUGUAUAACUUAGUUCGUGCUAUUUACUAUAGAUAAUUUUUAAUAACAGUUUUAUAUUAGUGAUGUGAAGACAGUUUAGAAUUUAUUAUUGAUUUCUUAAUUUUUAUAUGAUAUUACUGAUUGAAAAGUACAUUUGUUAAUUAUUUGCUUAGUAUAACUUAGUUAUUCCUGAUUACUAUUAAAUGUUAAUUGCACAGUACAAUAUCUUAUUGCUUUUCCUUUUUUGCUUAUGAAAAAUAAAAUAUUUAGCUGUG